rnacentral:rRNA from 1 species
GAUGAACGCUAGCGGGAGGCCUAACACAUGCAAGCCGAGCGGUAUUGUUUCUUCGGAAAUGAGAGAGCGGCGUACGGGUGCGGAACACGUGUGCAACCUGCCUUUAUCUGGGGGAUAGCCUUUCGAAAGGAAGAUUAAUACUCCAUAAUAUAUUGAACGGCAUCGUUUAAUAUUGAAAGCUCCGGCGGAUAGAGAUGGGCACGCGCAAGAUUAGCUAGUUGGUGAGGUAACGGCUCACCAAGGCGAUGAUCUUUAGGGGGCCUGAGAGGGUGAUCCCCCACACUGGUACUGAGACACGGACCAGACUCCUACGGGAGGCAGCAGUGAGGAAUAUUGGUCAAUGGGUGCAAGCCUGAACCAGCCAUCCCGCGUGAAGGACGACUGCCCUAUGGGUUGUAAACUUCUUUUGUAUAGGGAUAAACCUACCCUCGUGAGGGUAGCUGAAGGUACUAUACGAAUAAGCACCGGCUAACUCCGUGCCAGCAGCCGCCGUAAGAC